UGCGUAGGUGGCGCCGUAAGUCGGAUGUGAAAUUUUCGGAGCUUAACUUCGAAACUGCAUUCGAUACCGCGGUGCUUGAGGACUGGAGAGGAGACUGGAAUUCAUGGUGUAGCAGUGAAAUGCGUAGAGAUCAUGAGGAAGACCAGUGGCGAAGGCGGGUCUCUGGACAGUUCCUGACACUGAGGCACGAAGGCCAGGGGAGCAAACG
rnacentral:rRNA from 1 species